GCUCGUACAGCAACCCAACGGUAACGCGUGGCUCCUACGGUGGGUCGACACUCGACAGAAAGUGCUUUAACAGAGGUGUGGUUAACGGGGCAUACAGGACAGGUUACAGACGCCGGGAGAGGUAAAAAUUCACACACUAUCUCACCGUGUGGUGAUGUGAUGUACAGACAGAGACAAGUACAGUAUUUUUCUUCUUUUUCCCUUUGCACAGACGAAAUGGAGGCUCGUACUGCUAAGCAAGUUUAAGAUUUAUCGGAAAAGGAGUUGAACUCUAGAGAUGUUCUCACUGAAAACUUGAUCGAGAAAGGAGCUUUGUUAUUGGAUCAAAAUACUCACGUCUCUUAAAUCAUGAUCAGAGUCAAGGCUAGCUUUGUACUGAUCUCAUUAUGCGAUAGCAAUGGAGAAGGAUAACGCAAAUCAUGCUUCACCUAUAUCGUUGUUGGGGGCUUAGUUCUCCAUGUUCUUUGGUUGUUUGUGGUACAAUCAGUGAGGAAACUCAAAUACCAUGCACGUUUGGCUGGUCAGAAUUGCGAUCUCCAUGUAUAGCUACAGAAUGUCGGACUGAGCUUCAGUGAGAAUGUCAGUGUGUUGGAAAUUGGAACUCUAACAAUAUGUUAAGUUUCUAGGAUGGCAUGAAUAUGCAUACUACUUGGUUGUUACUACUAGUAUUCAUUUUCCACUAUCGAAGCGAUAACGGAACAAGCGGCCGAAGGCCCAAGUCCUAAAACCUUGUCCGGGGCCUCUUCGAAACAUGCAGAAAACAAACAAACUAGAGCAAAAGAAGAUUACAAGACCGCAGAGCGAGUCUGGCAACUUGCACAAUCUGAAGUUAUCAUGCAUCAAUUCUGCAGAACCAAACAUCAGGACCAGUGAACCGACCUAUGGUUAGAUGGUUAGAAGGACUGUGGUAUCCCCAGACCUUUGUCGUGUCAUCAGUCAUCACCAGGUCAAUUUCCCAUAGAAGAAUACUCCAUCGGGUCUUUAGUGUGCGCCUCAAGCGUUAGCUGAACCCUUGAUGCUCUCACCCCCACAUUUAGUCGCUAGCAUUGGAUUUUAUUUAUUUCAUUUCUUCUGUUGGAUAAUUUCCCAGGGAUUAGAGCUAGGGAUCAAGUAAUUGAAAGUUGUGCGCAUGCAAAUAUUACAACAUUAAGGCUUUUUUUUAACAAGAUUGAGAGUUUCUGUAAAGUACAGUAGCUUUCUUGUAAAGACUAAAGACAUUAUCUGAUUUGCUGAGUUGCCUACUUUAGGGGCAAGUACACGAAUGGUACCACUAAUUCUGUUAGAGGAAAGUGUUGGGUCUUAAUUUUGAAGUAAAUAAAUGGUUAAAUAUUAGCACUAGUACAUGUUUAGGACUAACAGAAGCAUGUUUGCACAUUAGCAUUAUCUAACAUGGACUCAAAGCUAUUUUCCAUGGAAGACGCUACUUCCGUGUUAAGAACCCGUAGACCCCAUGUUUACACUGAUCUCAGGUCACAAAUUUGUACAGGUUUACACCGAUUUUUCAUAAUCUCUCGAUCAUAAUUUAGGUUGUCUGAUCGCUACUUGCUUAGCUUCAACUUAGCAUACCUUUUCUUGAACUACCCAUUUGUAAGUUGCUCUGCAUUUCAGGAGGUUCUGCAUCUCUCAGGGUGAUACCAAACUUGCAUCAAUAUGUCAUGGGUCCACUCCGUCAGGUAUUUAUCCAUUUAUUUUUAUUUUUUUCUGAGAACUCUCACCCAACUUAAUUACUGCAUCAAGAUUCAUAGGUACUAGGUUUGGGCCAUACGGAUUCCCCAACCAUAUAUGGCGACCUAUAUCUAAGUUACAUGCAAACUGAACGAGAUUGUGAGCUUCAAAAUUAAAGUUUCCAUGCAUGAACGGUGUCUAUCUGAUGGUAGAUAGUGUUUGUCCCAGAGAGCGGUGUUUCUGCUCCCGGGCUCAAAUGAGCCCGGGCAAAAUAAAAAAGAAUCGUUAAAAAUAGAUUUUUUUUAAAAAAAUCCCGAUUUUUUGGAAGCAAGAUGCUCAUGUGCGUGAUGUUCGUGCAAAAAUCGGUGAAGUUUGGACACUCGAGGAGCACGCGAUAAAAAAGAUAAAUUUCGGCUUUGUGAGUAAGGUUAUUGUUCACACACUGUUUGGACCGAUUUUCUCAGAUGUCCAAACGGGGUGAAAUUUUGCAUAGACAUUACGCAUGCGAACAUCUUCCAUACAAAAAAAUUUGAGAUUUUUUUGAAUUUAUGUAGUAUAUUUUUUCUGAAUUUACUGUAGCUCGGGAGCAAAUGAGCCCAAGCAUCGAGUUGGAUUUUCGUUUGUCCCAUGACUUUUUAGCAGUGGCGUGCUUUUUUUUUUUACUUUUCUUUUUGGGGAGGCAGAAUUGUUGGGGUGUGACUGUUCGUUUAUCCAGCUGAUAUAUGGGCUGGGCCAAAAUCUUAGGGUGGGGCGUGCCCCCUACACCCUGCUGAAUCCACCAGUGUUGCAAAUUCUUGUUUCCCCUAAAAAAAUGCAAAUUCUUGCUAUAUCCAAAAUUCAGUGAAACAAGCAUCGUGCUAUUGACAUGGAAAAAACCCCGUACUUGGUUUCCUAAAUUUACGUGUACACAUUUUUCUAUUGAAGAAUGUUCAAAUAUUGAAAGUGUACCGAACUACUCAAGAGAUAAAACCAUGGGCCUACUUGUUGCUUCAGUGUUUCUAUUUUAAGCUCGGUGCACUGUUAUUUAGACGAAAUGUUUCUGAACAGGUGUAUCAUGUUUGAACGUCCUGAGUAUGUGCUUCUGUAUUCUGCACUUUUUUGAAAUUUACAAGAAAAUAAGAAGUGUGCAAAGAUCAAAGAUCACUAGGUCGAUGAGGGUAUCUUGAUUUUGCAGUUUAACUAGGUAAGUUGUGUUACUUUCUUGUCAUUCGCUGCAUGCCCAUUUCAAAGGUAAAUGUAUAUUUGAGCCCAAUCAUGUUUGGAGUUCGUGUCAAACCAUCCCAAGCAUGUAAAGACAGUAUCCGCAUUCCCUUUUUGUUGUUGCUUCGGUUACUUAAAAAAACAGGAGGAUAACCCCCCGGCCUCCACAUCAGGAUGAUGCAUACUGGCAUAUAUUAUUACGAAUGCAAAAUUCAGCUGCCGAACAACAUUGGCCCGGAAAUAAUGCGCAAGAAAAUCCAAGGUUGCAUGCCUCGCGACAGUAACUCCACCAAAUAAUCACUAACUCUAUGUUACAAGACGACAUCAAGACGGAAAAUGCACAACUCCUAGACUGCGCCUUCGGUUACUUGCUAAUGAAAUCUGCUUAAAGGCUAAAAAACUGCUUUGGACCACUGUGGCACACAUCAUCUGGUCUUUUUUCUUAACUAUCUUUGCCUUUUGCUUUUACAUACUUGUGUGGGGAUCUAUAAAUCGGUAUCUCUUCUUUCUUUUGGAGAAGCAGUUGAGACGUUGGACUCAGACUAAUGUAUUGCAUGUUGUGCGUGCUUAAACCAAGGGUCCAAAAGCACUUUCGCCGGUUAUCUUAUCUGAUUGCUACUUGCUUACCAUGGACCACGAUGCACAUCACAUGAUAGCUUGGGAAGUCCUCUGAAUGUAGUGCAGAUACACACACCCAUCCACCGCAGAACGAGUAAGAAAGAAGGAUGAGCGAACCGAUGGAUGUUCUGCGUGCUGAAUGCUGAAUACUCGUUGCUGCACUUGGAGAACCCUCAUCGUAGGGGCAUGAGGAGCUAAGGAUUAGCUAGGUCGCUCUAACUUAAUUUUGAAGGGAACAAGUCUCAUCCAGUCGUCCUCUAUACCUAGAAAAAAAAAUUGGCUGGAUCCUUGGGUCGGAGUCAGAGUCAGAUUUUCUAGGUCUACUUGACUAUUAUUAUUACUACCGGUCAAGCAAUGCCCAUAUUUUGGCAUUGACAUUACAUCGGUCAACCAUAUAUUGUCAACCUUUAACUUGUUCACAUUUGAUGGUUCCUCGCAGGCCUGUAGACCGAGACAUCGGCUAUUCGGGUUGACUUCCGGCUGUUACUGUGGCGGUUUCAGACUGACAUCGAUUGUUCCCUUUGUUCUUCCUGGUGUGUAUUUUUCAUGACUUGAAGUAUUGUUUGACUGCACCCGUAAGUCUCUGUUGCGUGCAGCGUUAAGCUCUUUGCCAGCAACCGCCGCGCUUGGUUUUUUCCUGUAUGUUCUGUCAUCAUGGGUGGCUUGGGCUGUUGGGACCUGCGCGGGAGUCUUCGUGUCUUCGUUGUUUUAUCUACACCCUUCUUGUUUUUUUGCAAGAAGUACCGAUCUAUCGUUAAUGAGUAAAAACAGUACAACAAUUUUGUGAAGUAAAAAUUACAACAAAGUCAUGGACCACAUUGCAACGACUAUAAACAUUGGAACGGAGUCGAAGCCAGAUAAAGGUUAUUAUACUUGACAGUCAAAAAAUCGUCGUGUUAAAGCCCUCGCGAAUGAGCUGUGCACCCCAAGGACCCGACAAGAUGGGCAAUCUCACAAAGCCACCGAGUACCGACAAUAGAGGAAAAGAGGCUAGGCUCGGGCAACGACAAGCUGGGUUUAGAGGGUAGUAUUCAGUUUCAGUGUUAGGCAUGUGGUCGGUUUCAGUGGCAGCUCAGUGCAAGAACUGACCCGUGGUAUUCCUGGCGAGCGUUCAGAUUCGACAGGGCGGUUGCUCCGCCAAGCAUCGUCAUUUGCUUCUGCUUUGACCCGCCCCGCCUGUGGUUUCGACAUCCGAACCCGGCGAAGUAAAUAUGCAAAGGUUCCGAAGACUCGACGACCGUCCAUCGAUCUAGCCUAAGCUUGGUCCAAUCUUCUAGAGGUACACAAAACGGUCUAUCCCCCUGAGCUGAAUCAAAACCAUGGAAUGGAAGCAGUCCUCACGUGCACAUCGAGGCCCGAUCCCGCAUCGGAAACGAAAAUGGGGGUUCCACCUUUUCUUCCGGCCGGAUUUAGGAGAUCCGGAGAGGACCAAAUGGGAACGUCUGAACCCCACAACACUGUAGACCGGGCUAGCUGCACGGGCCACGCGCUGGGAAAAACAAGCCCACCUCCGUCGCGUCGGCGCCGCGGGCUCCGACGCUCCGUCCUCCGACCACCUCCGUCCAGAUCGAAACCGACCGGGUCGGGCGGUGCGCGGCCGAAAUGUCACUUCUGCUCGGCAGGUGGUCGUGGCUGUGCUUUCUUUCUUCGGACGCGAGCUGCGCACGCCUCGCGGUUUUCUAGUCCCUGGAAACGCGACACAUUGACGGACGGGAUGGAUGGUAUGACAGCCGGCGGGUUGUUGCUCCUUUUUUGCUACUUUGACCGAGGGUCCGAAGCAAAGUGGCUAUUAUUCCCCGGGGUUAACUGCUCCGUGCGAACUUCAUAAAACCUUCUACUUUUAGUCCAAACCAGGGUAAGAUUCUAGGUCUCGUCUUGAGCUGUUACGUGCAGGUUUCCUACGGCAGGUGUAACGUUCUUGUAGUGUUUUUGUCAUCCGUGACAUCAUCGCCAACUAUGCGGUAGACUAACGAAAUUCUGGCUUAUUAGUCUUGCGUAAAAAAAUUCUUCAUCGACCAGUACUUCAUUGUACUGUAUCCAUAACAAAAGAUGCUUCCACAUCGAAUAUGGCCACGCCAUCAAAGGUGGCCAUAGGAGUCGCCUCAUGCAACCAAAAAAAAA
rnacentral:lncRNA from 1 species